AUUUGUUCUUAGAUAUCCUUGAUCACAAAUGUCCAGGAGUAUCUUUCAUUAACAUUUUAGGCAACAAAUGGCUGCAACAGAUUUCCUCUGGCCUCUUCUCCUCCCUGUGAGGGGCCAACUGCUCUCUCCUGGUUCCCACUGCCCACUCCUGCCCAGAGCCAGGGCCCCACUCCAGCCACGCCCCGUGGUGGCAGAGUUAUUUCCCAGUGCUGUGCAAACCUUGGGACCUGUGCUGUCAAAUCCAUUGGCCCCACAGCUCCUGCCCCACACUCUGCACCGGGGGGGCUCCAGGCAGAGCUCACGGAUGUUCCCCAAACCCCACACGCUGGUUCUGCCACUGCCAGCUCUGCCCUCUGAGAGCUCAGCACUGCUGUGUGGGAACAACAGCCAGGGGCUCGGGAACACCAACACCCAGAGCUCAGGAACACCAACACCUCAGGAACACCAACACCUCAGGAACACCAACAUCCAGGGCUCAGGAACACCAACACCUCAGGAACACCAACACCCAGGGCUCAGGAACACCAACAGCCAGAGCUCAGGAACACCAACACCUCAGGAACACCAACACCUCAGGAACACCAACACCUCAGGAACACCAACACCCAGAGCUCAGGAACACCAACACCUCAGGAACACCAACACCUCAGGAACACCAACAUCCAGGGCUCAGGAACACCAACACCUCAGGAACACCAACAUCCAGGGCUCAGGAACACCAACACCUCAGGAACACCAACAUCCAGGGCUCAGGAACACCGAGGAGAUUCAGUUUUCUGUCUCAGCACAGAAAAAAGGAAAAGAACUUCAAGUGCUUUUAGAACUGAGGACAAACAAUCUCCCUUUAGAGCUGUUCCCAGAGGAGCAGAGGAGGGAUUGUCCCUGUCCCUGCAGCGGGGCUGUUUCAGUAGUGGUGGGACUGUCCCUGUCCCUGCAGUGGGGCUGUUUCAGCAGUGGUGGGACUGUCCCUGUCCCUGCAGUGGGGCUGUUUCUCAGCCUGUAACCCUUUGCUGUUGGGGCCUGUGCUCUCCCUGCAGGAGAGGCCAUGGAACAAGGCCUCCGGGACUGCUGCCGCUCCAUCCGCAUCGGGAAGAUCCUGAUCCAGAGCGACGAGGAGACCCAGCGAGCCAAGGUGUACUACGCCAAGUUCCCUCCAGACAUCUACAGGAGGAAAGUGCUGCUGAUGUACCCAAUCCUGAGUGACAGAGCAGGGAAUUAUCAGGCUGUGCCAGGACACACAUCAGUCAGCUGCACCAGUGGGAAUGCAAAGCAAAUCCUUUGGCCAUGGCAGUGUUUGGGAGAAAGGCUGAAGAUUAAGACUUGGUAUAAAUUGAUUUUUUUUUAAUUUUGCCAUGAGACAAGAUUCAAACAGAAUUUUUCUCAUGCUAUUAAAAACCAUUUUUGGAUUAGUAUUAUAAAACUAGAAGUAAACUACUUUAAAAUUAAACUAAGUUAAUGCUAACAAAAAAAAAAAAUUAAUCUGGUAAGGAGUUUGUUGGGAUGAGGUAACAUUUCCAGUCUAAGAUUUCUUUCUCUUAUACCCGUGGAGCUUUUGAUUUCCGUUUGACUAUUUUAGAUGAACUUUCUUGCCUCAUGGUUUUAAUAAAAUUCACCAACUUAUAUGUUUAAAACCUGGCAGAGUUGGCUUUUUCAGAAGAGAGGUGAAGCUCCUUCAAUAGGAGACAAGUUUUCCACAACUGAUACAAGCAGAGGUGAGAGUUUUCCAGGAAGAAAGGACAGAACCAUCAUUCAAUCACACAGAGAUAUUCUUGGAUGGCCAAGGACUAGUUUGCCAACCACGGGGGAAAAAUAAAAUUUGUUACCAGGUACUGGUAACACUGUCAUUGAGGAUGCCAAAGUGCCUGCAGAAUAUGAUGUACAACAAGGUGUCAUGAUCCUGCUCAGCCUGUUCUCUACACUUAUGGCACAUUGAGACCUUUGGUGUCUCUCAAAUGGUACCAAAUCCAUCAUCCAGGAAUUCCCAGAAAUCACCAUUUUAACUACAGAAGUGCAUCCUGUUGCACCAACACACUUUGGACAGAAGUAUUUUGGAACAGACUGACAAUCUCAGAACAACUGGAUGUGACUCUAUGACAUUACAA